rnacentral:rRNA from 1 species
GUCAGAUUGAACGCUGGCGGCAGGCCUAACACAUGCAAGUCGAGCGGGGUUUUCGGACCUAGCGGCGGACGGGUGAGUAAUGCGUAGGAAGCUGCCCGAUAGAGGGGGAUACCAGUUGGAAACGACUGUUAAUACCGCAUAAUGUCUACGGACCAAAGUGUGGGACCUUCGGGCCACAUGCUAUCGGAUGCGCCUACGUGGGAUUAGCUAGUUGGUGAGGUAAUGGCUCACCAAGGCGACGAUCUCUAGCUGGUUUGAGAGGAUGAUCAGCCACACUGGAACUGAGACACGGUCCAGACUCCUACGGGAGGCAGCAGUGGGGAAUAUUGGACAAUGGGCGCAAGCCUGAUCCAGCCAUGCCGCGUGUGUGAAGAAGGCCUUCGGGUUGUAAAGCACUUUCAGCGAGGAGGAAGGGAUGUAUGUUAAUAGCAUGCA